UUUCCAUGAUUCGCUUUGAAUGAUUAUAUUUUUUCAGAUCCCGGUCACUAUUGCGGAGGCGGAACUACCAAGCAUCAAAUCCAGAACUAAAUAAAACAAAAUUAUCCCAGCCUCAGUUUUCUUACAUCUCAUUAUUUGAGUAAGGACAGCCAACACAUUACCUCAUGAAUGGCAGCAAAAAUAAAACUCUAGGACAGCAUUUGUUUUUUGACACCGGUGUACAUAAGCUACCCGGGAAUAGCUUUAACAAAAUAUGGGCAUCAUAACAUAAUAAAAUUCAGGGACCAUCGAACAUUGAGUAGUGAGAUGUUUGCAGCAACAUGUGAGUAGUGGAAAGUGAGAAAUGAGAAGUGAGAAGUUAGUUAUGAAAUUUGCGAAGUGAGGAGUAGGAUGUGAGUAGUGAGAUAAACAGAAGCAAAAAGUGAGAAGCGAGAGAUGAUGAUUGGGAGUAAGAAGCGAGAUGAUGAGUAGUGAGAAGUGAGUGGAGAGAUAUAAGACAGAAAGAAGGAAGACAGAAGAAAUAAGAAGAAAGACGGAAAGAGAAAGAAUCUCGUUUCUCACUUCUCGUUCCUUGGUUCUCACUUCUCACUUCUUACUACUCCCUUCUCACAACUCACUUCUUACUCCUCAUUUCUCACUUCAUAACACUAGUAAAUACUAGUGUACAUCUCGCUUCUCUCCCCUUUUUACCCAAUUUUCACUUCUCACUGUUUUUAGCGUUAAACUUAAUUUCAAGAAUAAAAAACACCUUAGUAAAGUUUAAAAAAUUCUCUCUGUUCAUUUAUCACUUUUUAUUAUCAGGGUUUGAAUCCAAAAGAGAAUUACAAAGUCUUUCACUUAUCGUCUCUGUAUACUUAUACGAUAUCUAGCAUACCGCGAGAGAUUUUUUUCGCAAUCUGUCAUGAUAGAGUACUGAUUCAGGAGGCUAUACCCCAUGAUAAAUUUCUUUUAGAAAGCUCCAAAUGCGGGGAUCACUGGCACUGAUGAUGCAUUUCAACUUGUUCGAGCUGUGCAGUAACCACCACGAAAAGAGCGAAAAUCAACACUUCCGUGGGGGGCGAACCUAUCCGAUUUUGUUAUCUCGCACUUGUAUACAAGUUUGAUAAAUUUGUUAUCAUGGCUUGUUAUGAUUCGG